UACAGAGGGUGCGAGCGUUGUCCGGAAUCACUGGGCGUAAAGGGCGCGUAGGCGGCUUGAUAAGCGUGCGGUGAAAGCCCGGGGCUCAACCCCGGGUCGGCCGUGCGAACUGUCGAGCUGGAGCACUGUAGAGGCAGGUGGAAUUCCGGGUGUAGCGGUGGAAUGCGCGGAUAUCAGGAAGAACACCCGUGGCGAAGGCGGCUCUCUGGGACGGUACUGACGCUGAGACGCGAAAGCGUGGGGAGCGAACAGG
rnacentral:rRNA from 1 species